GCGUGAGUGAGGAAGGCCUUAGGGUUGUAAAGCUCUUUCACCCACGACGAUGAUGACGGUAGUGGGAGAAGAAGCCCCGGCUAACUUCGUGCCAGCAGCCGCGGUAAUACGAAGGGGGCGAGCGUUGUUCGGAUUUACUGGGCGUAAAGGGCGCGCAGGCGGCCAUCUUUGUCAGGCGUGAAAGCCCCGGGCUUAACCUGGGAAUGGCGCUUGGGACGGGGUGGCUAGAGAUCGGGAGAGGAGCGUGGAAUUCCCAGUGUAGAGGUGAAAUUCGU
rnacentral:rRNA from 1 species